UGCUAUGUUGUUUGUUUGUUUGUUUGGGGU
rnacentral:piRNA from 1 species